CGCACACGCGUGGGGAUCCACUCGACAACUGAGAACAAUAAACAACCACACUCAAUGCGUCUGUCCACUAGAUGUCGACAAAUAGGCUACAUUGUAAAUUGAUUGAAUACACGGCUCUACCAAAUGUGCGAAGGGCCAGUUUUAUUCAACAUGCACAUCUGGAUACUCACUGAGGGAGAAGGAGUUGAGCACCAGGCCAGACAGGGCCAUACCACAGAAGAAGCGACACACACAAAACCAAGUGAAGGUGGUGGAGAAAGAAGCGCAUGUUCCUCCAACUGCCAUGAUCAGCUCCUCAGAAGUGUUUCUGUUCAAGAGCUCCCACUGAGGGUGGACAUAUCGCUUGCAACGGUCCAGUUUGCCAUUACUGUCCAGCGGCACUGUGGCCCUUAGCACGUCCGCCGCGCUCAUCGAGGACCCGGUCAGACCUCCAGGUGGCGGCGGUUGAUUUCAUAAAUGAUCUCGAGGUGGCGUGGCAGCAGGGACUGGAACAGGUCAAUAGGCCAGCGUUCCAGAGCCUCAGGCAGCACAGUGUGGUUAGUGUAGGCACAUGUCUUCACACAGAUGUCCCAUGCCUGCAAGGAGUGAAAAAGGCAACACAGUUUGGCUUAUCUGGUAAAGGUCAUUCAACCUGCCAGCCAUUGUCGAUUUUCUGGUUAAAGAUACCGAACUCAUAACGAAUGCCGUAACCGUAGGCGGCCAGGCCAAGAGAAGCCAUCGAGUCCAGGAAGCAAGCUGAAAGAGAGUAAGAGAGCAAAGGUUCAAUAAAUCCAUACUGAGAGGGAUGGUUCCUCUGUUAAACCUGAGUGCACAAUAAGAUAAGAUUACACACCAGCUAGACGACCGAGGCCUCCAUUUCCCAGUCCAGCAUCUUCUUCCAUCUCCUCCAGCUCCUCCAUAUCUAGACCCAGCUGAAGAACACAACUUCCUAUGUGACCUUUACAGCCCAGACCUCUUCCACCAAAAGACUUUAUGCAGCGCAGAAGAGGAAAAGGUCAGAGAUGUUGGGUAGUGGUUUCAUCUUCGGCACGACUCUCAGAUUGUAAUGCCUCAGGCACCAAUACAUUUUCCUUACAAUGUUUCUUCCAUUUUAUUAUUUACUGUAAAUGAGAAAGAUCCUUCCAGUAAUGUUCUACUGGUGUAUACCACUGUUUCAGUGCUGGAUGGAAAAAUGGAUCUAAAAAUGUACAUGCUAAAAAAUGCUGGAAUGUUUUAACCCAUGGUUGGGUGAAAUAUGAACAAACUCAACUGGUGGUUAAAAAUUUAAUUAAUCUAGAAAAUGUCAAAUUUGACUCAACUCAAACACCAGUGGGGUUCUGGCCAACCAUGGGUUAAAACAACUACCUGCGUUGCUGUUUGCAAAAUGCAAUUGUUUAAGUGAAUUGCAAAUCCUUUUAUAAAUGCUUUAUAUUUAAAUGAAUGAUAAAUUGAUGCUUCAUAAUCAACCUGAUCUCCAGACACCUGACUGUAAAACGCAUUGUGCAUUAUUGUGCUUCCAACAUAAAGGUCAGUCUAUUGAUCAUCUGAAUUAUUAAUUCAUCUUCCCAGUGUUGAGCAGUGUAUAUCAAUGCAAGAGUUGACGCCAGACGGCACAUUUGACUCAUAAUUUUGCACUUUGCAAGUAUGCUGGAUUUUGCUGUGCUUUAGAGCAGGGUGUUUAGAGAUGUUUAUCUUGGAAGAUUCAUGAAAGGUCAGCACUGCUUUGGUCAAGCCGAUCCUCAACACUCAAGGAAAUGUCAUGACAUUACAGUGGGAUUACUUAUCGCAGCUGCAUCGACAGGUGCACGUGCUUUGUAGUUCGUUUUGCCUUUUGUAGCGAAAUGCGUCUUUUAUUACAUUGCGCAGUCAUGCAAGCAUGCACCGAUGUGGUUUUGCAUCAAUCUCGGCAUGCGUGA